UCAGAGCAGAAACACCUACAUAGAGCCACAGUACUCAGGAGUGAAGCUUUUGUAUAUUUGUAAAGAUGUCAAGGAAUCUUACCCAAGUGUGGUAUAUUUCCUUGCUUUCUAGGGGCUUAUUUCCUACUCACUUUGGUGUAUCUCCCACAUAGAACAGAUCCUGAAUCCAAGAAGGUCAAAAAGGAAUCAUAGUACAGUUUGGAGGCAUGAGCAUAGGAAAGUAGCUUACACAAACUGGUCUAAACUUAAAGGGUUAAAGAACUGGUCCAUUUCUGUGUUUUUUUCCUUUAGAUGAUCUUUCUGUGCACUUGUAUCACUUUGAAGAAAACCCAUCAAUAGCCAAAAUUUGAAUGCAGCUUUUACAGGAAAAGAGCCAAGCUAGUUACACACUGCUUUGGGUCUACUUCUUUGUAUUUUAUGCAAAAGGAAUCUCCUCAGAAUUCCACAUCCCCCACUUACCAAGACUGAGACAUUCUACUCAAUAACACAAGAAGUACAUGCGCUCGACUCCUCUAGUCACAUCUACCAGGAUCUGUUGAAAAGUCUGUGGCCCUGCAACUGCCAAGUUAUGCAGUGCCAAACCCAAGUCCUCUAAAACACCUCUUAUCAUCACCUUGAGAUAGUUAUACUUGCUCCCAGCUCCCUUGCAAGCCUGAGACCCACUCCCACAUCUCCUUCAUACACAGGCCACAACAGAUAUCAAGAAGUAAUCUUGCUAACAUCAAUGCUUGAAUUAACAAGAGAAUUGGAACCAAAUUUGGCUGAAGAUAAACACUUUUAAAAACACAUCAUACAGGGACGCCUGGGUGAAGUUGAGCCUCUGCUUUCAACUCAGGGCGUGAUCCUGCGUCUGG